rnacentral:rRNA from 1 species
GACGAACGCUGGCGGCGUGCUUAACACAUGCAAGUCGAACGGAAAGGCCCUGCUUUUGUGGGGUGCUCGAGUGGCGAACGGGUGAGUAACACGUGAGUAACCUGCCCUUGACUUUGGGAUAACUUCAGGAAACUGGGGCUAAUACCGGAUAGGAGCUCCUGCUGCAUGGUGGGGGGUGGAAAGUUUCGGCGGUUGGGGAUGGACUCGCGGCUUAUCAGCUUGUUGGUGGGGUAGUGGCUUACCAAGGCUUUGACGGGUAGCCGGCCUGAGAGGGUGACCGGCCACAUUGGGACUGAGAUACGGCCCAGACUCCUACGGGAGGCAGCAGUGGGGAAUAUUGCACAAUGGGCGGAAGCCUGAUGCAGCAACGCCGCGUGCGGGAUGACGGCCUUCGGGUUGUAAACCGCUUUCGCCUGUGACGAAGCGUGAGUGACGGUAAUGGGUAAAGAAGCACCGGCUAACUACGUA